GUACACGCUGUGACUAGCAUAUCAAUAAGCGGAGGAAAAGAAACUAACUAGGAUUCCCUCAGUAACGGCGAGUGAAGCGGGAAGAGCUCAAAUUUGAAAUCUUCAAGGUUCUACCUUGACGAAUUGUAGUCUAAAGAAGUGUUUUCUGUUGGAGUUUUGGUAAAAGUUCUUUGGAAUAGGACAUCAUAGAGAGUGAGAAUCCCGUAUUUGACCAUUAUUUCCAGCUUUGUGAUACACUUUCAAAGAGUCGGAUUGUUUGGGAAUGCAGUCCAAAAUGGGUGGUAAAUUUCAUCUAAAGCUAAAUAUUGGCGAGAGACCGAUAGCGAACAAGUACCGUGAGGGAAAGAUGAAAAGAACUUUGAAAAGAGAGUUAAACAGUACGUGAAAUUGUCAAAAGGGAAGCGUUUGACACCAGUGUUGUUUUCUCGAAAAUCAAUUAAAAAAGGCAGGAUUUUGUGUUGUAUUGACUUUAUCAGCUUUCUGCACUCUUUUCUUGUCUUUUUUAAUGCACUUUUCGUUUAACAAGUCAACAUCAAUUUCUUUUGUUGUAAAAGGGUCAUUGGAAGGUGGCUUUCUUUUCGGAGAAAGUGUUUAUAGCCUUUGCUCUCUGCAAUCGGAGAGAUUGAGGUCUGCAGCGUAGAUCCUUCGGGGUUAGAUACAUUUGUGCUAAGUUAUAGCCUUUCAUAAACAACUUGUUGACUACGAUCAGUCAUGUAGCUUACUCGCUUAUGCUAUUUUACCUACGCUUAGGAUGUUGAAGACUCUACAGAGAUA
rnacentral:rRNA from 1 species